rnacentral:rRNA from 1 species
AUGCCUACAUUUAUAGAUGUAUAUUGUUUCAAAAGUUUGACUCGACGUGCCUCACAACAACUUGUUUUUAGGAUGGAGCUACUUUCUCAGCUCUCACCAGUAAUAUCCAUUAAAAGUAUUAGGGUGUGUAUAGUUCAUUACUGCACUUCACAAAACUUUAGUUGUGCAAAUGUGACUGGUAGAUAUUUUGGUUCAUUGGCACAAUUUGUUAGCCUUGGGUUCUGCAGCACAUGUGUCACGGACUCAUGCUUUUUGAAAGCCUGCAAGGUUGCAACCAAUUUGUGGUGGUCAACCAAACAUGCCAUUGAUACCCUGCACUAG